rnacentral:rRNA from 1 species
UACGUAGGGUCCGAGCGUUGUCCGGAAUUAUUGGGCGUAAAGGGCGCGUAGGCGGUUCGUUAAGUCAGUUGUGAAAGCCCGGGGCUCAACUCCGGAGAGUCGACUGAUACUGGCGAGCUAGAGUACGGAAGAGGUAGCUGGAAUUCCCGGUGUAGCGGUGAAAUGCGCAGAUAUCAGGAAGAACACCCGUGGCGAAGGCGGUUAGCUGGCCUGUAACUGACACUGAGGCGCGAAGGCUAGGGGAGCGAACAGG